rnacentral:ribozyme from 1 species
AAAACAAAGAAAAGGAAAAGGAGGAAGCAGGGAAAGGAGGAGCCGUAGCGCUGAGCUGCUCUUUUUGUUUUCUUUUUUUUUCGUUUUCUUUUUUUCUUUUUUUUUUUUCCC